UACGUAGGGGGCGAGCGUUGUCCGGAUUUAUUGGGCGUAAAGGGCUUGUAGGUGGCCACGCGAAGUCCGACGUGAAAUCCCAAGGCUUAACCUUGGAACUGCGUCGGAUACUGGAUGGCUUGAAUUCGGGAGAGGGAUGAAGAAUUCCAGGUGUAGCGGUGAAAUGCGUAGAUAUCUGGAGGAAUACCGGUGGCGAAGGCGGCAUCCUGGACCGACAUUGACGCUGAUGAGCGAAAGCUAGGGGAGCAAACGGG
rnacentral:rRNA from 1 species